rnacentral:tRNA from 1 species
GGGGAUUUAGCUCAGCGGCAUAAGCGCCUGCCUUGCAAGCGGGCAAUUGUGAGUUCAAUCCCCG